rnacentral:lncRNA from 1 species
CCUUGAAUCUUUCUUCUCGUCGAAGAUCCUUCUUCUCCAAGUAGGAUCUCACCCCUUUAGAACCUUGAUCAACUCUUUGAUCUAAACUGUGGAAUCAAUUCUUUGAUCUGCAGCCUUUUCUCUUCAUUCCUCACUAUAGAUGAACAACUCCUUAACUCUUGGCGUGUGAAAAGGUGGGACACCCGACCUUUGGGCAUAGAAAAGAGAAGAAGGAGAAGGGGAGGCAUGGAGAAGGAGAGAGGGUGUUUUGGUUUCACAAAAUUCUACUAACUUCAAACCCUAAGAGACCUUCUCUUUAAAUAGACUCUACCUUGAUUCAAAACAGGAAUCUAAUUAACUUAAAA